rnacentral:lncRNA from 1 species
GUUCUUCCUUCUGAAUCAGCUUGGUCUACAUGAUAAUUUUCUUGUCUCCAGACUUCCAGAAAGGGAAAAGAAAGCAAUUAUUUUCACUCAACUGAUGUGAACUUAAAGGUUCUUUAAGCUAGCUGUCCAACUGCUCUACCUGUCCACGCAGCUUUCCAAGACAACCAAACUGAAGAUAGUAUGCUUAGUGCUGUACCAGCAUAUGUCUGGAGGCCUACAAAGAAGGGCUGAUGAAACUCUAAGAGAUCACAACUCUGGUUUUGAAUCCUGCAAGUGGACAAGCACAGCCUCACAGGCUCACAGCCAGAGCCGGGAGAAGAAUGUGGAACUCCAUGCAGAGAAGGCUGUGGUAUAA